rnacentral:tmRNA from 1 species
GGGGGUGUUAAAAGUCGCAAGAUACGUUCACGGUUAUUUCGCAAUCCGUCACUGCUUGAUGUGACGCAAAUACCUCAAGCACCUACACAAAUGCAAACAGCAUUGUCAGCAGAGUAACGAGUGCGCUCGCGCGAGCGUUCGCAGUUCCGAGCUUUGCGCCAGUUGUAGCCUAAUACGCUUGCAACCGUCACCGCUCUAGGCCUGAAUGGAGCGAUCGUGGCGUCAUACUUCAGGACGCAGCCGGAGUGUGCCUCGCGCUCCGGCAAAGCCUACGAGGAUAGCCGCGCGCAUGUUUUGCCUGCUUUGAGUGCGCGCCGCGAAUACCAUAAACAGGCUAUGAUUGUAGACCGAUUCCAGUGACGCAUCUUCACGCGGGAGAAUAGCCCGCCACCUCCACCA